rnacentral:rRNA from 1 species
CAAAAACAUGUUUUUUUGAGUUAUUUUUAAAGUUUAACCUGCCCAAUGAAAAUUUUUUUAAUGGCCGCAGUAAUUUGACUGUGCAAAGGUAGCAUAAUAAUUAGUCUUUUAAUUGAAGGCUUGUAUGAAUGGUUGGACGAAGUAUAAUCUGUUUCAUUUAAAUUUAUUAUAGAAUUUUAUAUUUUAGUAAAAAAGCUAAAAUUUUUUUAAAAGACGAGAAGACCCUAUAAAUCUUUAUAAUUUAUAUAUAUUUUUUUUUUUUUGAUUUAUUUUAUUUUAAUAAUUUAGAUUAUUUUAUUGGGGUGAUAUUAAAAUUUAAAUAACUUUUAAUUUUUUUUAAACAUUAAUUUAUGAUUUAUUGAUCCAUUAAUAAUGAUUAAAAGAAUAAGUUACUUUAGGGAUAACAGCGUAAUUUUUUUGGAGAGUUCUUAUUGAUAAAAAAGUUUGCGACCUCGAUGUUGGAUUAAGAGAUAAUUUUAGGUGUAGUUGCUAAAUAANAAGUCUGUUCGACUUUUAAAUUCUUACAUGAUCUGAGUUCAANCCGGA